UCCCACCGCUCCUUUCUCGCUUCCUCUUUUCUUUAUAUAUCUCUCCCGGGGAUGGGCCCCCAUUGUCGAAACAAAACUCAAUCGCCGCCCUUGCCUUCACCCUCUUCGAAGACGUCG
ensembl:ncRNA R11B5.9 ncRNA